rnacentral:lncRNA from 1 species
GGAUGCCGCCGGCCGCCGGGGGCCUUCUCCAGGACCAGGAGAGAAAUCCUCUCUCCGCUUCACGACGCGGCCACUCCCACCCCUGAGACGCCCACCUGGCGGACUCUGAGGGAGGAUUCGGCUGCGUCUAAUACCACCUCCACCCCUCAUCCCUCACAAUGCGCGGAAAACCACAGGCGGCUGUGCGCGCAGCGUCGGCUCAGCCACCGCAGCUCCUCCCCUGGGAUGAAAAAGCACUCUGACGUCUUGAAAGCUGGCAGCUCUCUGUUUGGAAAAUCUCUGCCCAGUGAAAAAAUGUACCGACAAGAUUACUAAGUAACACAGUCUUCUGGGAAUGCCUUAUCAAUGCCAGCUAUUUGAAGAGCACCCAAAGUCAAACUAGUGCUCCGCGCUGGCAGUCUGGAAAAGGCAGAUAUGAGAAAACUGAGCUGUAGAAAGGUUGCCUGACUUGUCUAAGAUAACACAGCUGGGAAGUUGAGGAGGCAGGUCUGACUGGUAUAAAAAACUCCAGCCCAGUGACUUCCAUACUACAAAAUGGACAAAAGAGAUCAGAAAGGUCACAUUUUAAACAUUCACAGAGACCAGGUCUAAGGUGAGUACACAGUGAUGACAAAGUUUUGUUGGGAAAGGCAGACGUUCUGCACCUGAUGCUACCUUAGUCCCUGCAAAGAGUCCUCACUUCCGUGACUAAGUGGAAAUCAGCUACAAUUACUUAAGCACGUCACUAAGGUUUUUGUAAAUAAAAAUUUCUGAAUAAGAAAAUUUGAUACAUUCUUCAGUUCUGGUGUUGUUACUAACGGUCUUAGUCAGUUUGAGCUGUGAUAACAAGUAUCCUAGACUGGGUGGCUUAAGCAACAGACACUUUGUUUCUCACAGUUCCAGAGGCUAGGAAGUCCAAGAUCAAGGUGUUGGCAGAUUCAGU